rnacentral:rRNA from 1 species
CGAGCGGCGGACGGGUGAGUAAUGCUUGGGAAUAUGCCUUAUGGUGGGGGACAACAGUUGGAAACGACUGCUAAUACCGCAUGAUGUCUACGGACCAAAGUGGGGGACCUUCGGGCCUCACGCCAUAAGAUUAGCCCAAGUGGGAUUAGCUAGUUGGUGAGGUAAUGGCUCACCAAGGCGACGAUCCCUAGCUGGUUUGAGAGGAUGAUCAGCCACACUGGGACUGAGACACGGCCCAGACUCCUACGGGAGGCAGCAGUGGGGAAUAUUGCACAAUGGGCGCAAGCCUGAUGCAGCCAUGCCGCGUGUGUGAAGAAGGCCUUCGGGUUGUAAAGCACUUUCAGUAAGGAGGAAAGGUUAAGUGUUAAUAGCGCUUAGCUGUGACGUUACUUACAGAAGAAGCACCGGCUAACUCCGUGCCAGCAGCCGCGGUAAUACGGAGGGUGCGAGCGUUAAUCGGAAUUACUGGGCGUAAAGCGUACGCAGGCGGUUUGUUAAGCGAGAUGUGAAAGCCCCGGGCUCAACCUGGGAACUGCAUUUCGAACUGGCAAACUAGAGUGUGAUAGAGGGUGGUAGAAUUUCACGUGUAGCGGUGAAAUGCGUAGAGAUCUGAAGGAAUACCGAUGGCGAAAGGCAGCCACCUGGGUCAACACUGACGCUCAUGUACGAAAGCGUGGGGGAGCA